AAGAUUUAGAAGCUAUUAUUUCAACUCCAAUUGAAAGUGACCACUCAUUUUCUGGAAGAGGGGAAAAAAAUUAUAAGAUCUAUGCCCAUCCUAUGGGAUAAGAAAUGAUGGCUGAUGGUUUACCUAAAUUCAUUCUCUUAUAUACAAGUCUAUAAUGUGCUGUUCUUUGAAUAAUAGUUUCUGAACCUUUUUUUUUCCCCUUCUUUUUGAAUGUUUCUGCCGGAAAAGUUCUGAUUUGUCAAAGUCUUUACCUUAUUUAGUUCAAAAUGUAUAUAGGGAGAAUUGGGGAGACUUUUAGGAAUUAGGAUUUAGGAUGCAUUUGUCAUGCAAG
rnacentral:misc_RNA from 1 species